UUCCGUAGGCGGUGCGGCAAGUCGGAAGUGAAAUCUCAGGGCUUAACCCUGAGGCUGCUUCCGAAACUGCCGUGCUCGAGUGCGAGAGAGGCGAGUGGAAUUGCAGGUGUAGCGGUGAAAUGCGUAGAUAUCUGCAGGAACAUCCGAGGCGAAAGCGGCUCGCUGGAUCGACAACUGACGCUGAGGGACGAAAGCUAGGGGAGCAAACAGGAUUAGAUACCCUGGUAGUCCUAGCCCUAAACGAUCAGGACUGGGCGUGGGCCUCGUACGGGGCUCGUGCCGCAGCUAACGCGUUAAGUCCUGCGCCUGGGGAGUACGGUCGCAAGGCUGAA
rnacentral:rRNA from 1 species